rnacentral:rRNA from 1 species
UUAAGCGACUAAGCGUACACGGUGGAUGCCCUGGCAGUCAGAGGCGAUGAAGGACGUGCUAAUCUGCGAAAAGCGUCGGUAAGGUGAUAUGAACCGUUAUANNNNNNCACUAUCGUUAACUGAAUACAUAGGUUAACGAGGCGAACCGGGGGAACUGAAACAUCUAAGUACCCCGAGGAAAAGAAAUCAACCGAGAUUCCCCCAGUAGCGGCGAGCGAACGGGGAGCAGCCCAGAGUCUGAAUCAGCUUGUGUGUUAGUGGAACGGUCUGGAAAGUCCGACGGUACAGGGUGAUAGUCCCGUACACCAAAAUGCACAGGUUGUGAACUCGAAGAGUAGGGCGGGACACGUGGUAUCCUGUCUGAAUAUGGGGGGACCAUCCUCCAAGGCUAAAUACUCCUGACUGACCGAUAGUGAACCAGUACCGUGAGGGAAAGGCGAAAAGAACCCCGGCGAGGGGAGUGAAAAAGAACCUGAAACCGUGUACGUACAAGCAGUGGGAGCACCUUCGGGUGUGACUGCGUACCUUUUGUAUAAUGGGUCAGCGACUUAUAUUCUGUAGCAAGGUUAACCGUAUAGGGGAGCCGCAGGGAAACCGAGUCUUAACUGGGCGUUAAGUUGCAGGGUAUAGACCCGAAACCCGGUGAUCUAGCCAUGGGCAGGUUGAAGGUUGGGUAACACUAACUGGAGGACCGAACCGACUAAUGUUGAAAAAUUAGCGGAUGACUUGUGGCUGGGGGUGAAAGGCCAAUCAAACCGGGAGAUAGCUGGUUCUCCCCGAAAGCUAUUUAGGUAGCGCCUCGUGAACUCAUCUUCGGGGGUAGAGCACUGUUUCGGCUAGGGGGUCAUCCCGACUUACCAACCCGAUGCAAACUACGAAUACCGAAGAAUGUUAUCACGGGAGACACACGGCGGGUGCUAACGUCCGUCGUGAAGAGGGAAACAACCCAGACCGCCAGCUAAGGUCCCAAAGUCAUGGUUAAGUGGGAAACGAUGUGGGAAGGCACAGACAGCCAGGAUGUUGGCUUAGAAGCAGCCAUCAUUUAAAGAAAGCGUAAUAGCUCACUGGUCGAGUCGGCCUGCGCGGAAGAUGUAACGGGGCUAAACCAUGCACCGAAGCUGCGGCAGCGACACUAUGUGUUGUUGGGUAGGGGAGCGUUCUGUAAGCCUGCGAAGGUGACCUGUGAGGGUUGCUGGAGGUAUCAGAAGUGCGAAUGCUGACAUAAGUAACGAUAAAGCGGGUGAAAAGCCCGCUCGCCGGAAGACCAAGGGUUCCUGUCCAACGUUAAUCGGGGCAGGGUGAGUCGACCCCUAAGGCGAGGCCGAAAGGCGUAGUCGAUGGGAAACAGGUUAAUAUUCCUGUACUUGGUGUUACUGCGAAGGGGGGACGGAGAAGGCUAUGUUAGCCGGGCGACGGUUGUCCCGGUUUAAGCAUGUAGGCUGAUUGUCCAGGCAAAUCCGGAUAAUCAAGGCUGAGGUGUGAUGACGAGGCACUACGGUGCUGAAGUAACAAAUGCCCUGCUUCCAGGAAAAGCCUCUAAGCAUCAGGUAACAUUAAAUCGUACCCCAAACCGACACAGGUGGUCAGGUAGAGAAUACCAAGGCGCUUGAGAGAACUCGGGUGAAGGAACUAGGCAAAAUGGUGCCGUAACUUCGGGAGAAGGCACGCUGGUGUGUAGGUGAAGUCCCUGCGGAUGGAGCUGAGACCAGUCGAAGAUACCAGCUGGCUGCAACUGUUUAUUAAAAACACAGCACUGUGCAAACACGAAAGUGGACGUAUACGGUGUGACGCCUGCCCGGUGCCGGAAGGUUAAUUGAUGGGGUUAUCCGUAAGGAGAAGCUCUUGAUCGAAGCCCCGGUAAACGGCGGCCGUAACUAUAACGGUCCUAAGGUAGCGAAAUUCCUUGUCGGGUAAGUUCCGACCUGCACGAAUGGCGUAAUGAUGGCCAGGCUGUCUCCACCCGAGACUCAGUGAAAUUGAACUCGCUGUGAAGAUGCAGUGUACCCGCGGCAAGACGGAAAGACCCCGUGAACCUUUACUAUAGCUUGACACUGAACAUUGAGCCUUGAUGUGUAGGAUAGGUGGGAGGCUUUGAAGCGUGGACGCCAGUCUGCGUGGAGCCAACCUUGAAAUACCACCCUUUAAUGUUUGAUGUUCUAACGUUGGCCCCUGACCGGGGUUGCGGACAGUGUCUGGUGGGUAGUUUGACUGGGGCGGUCUCCUCCCAAAGCGUAACGGAGGAGCACGAAGGUUAGCUAAUCCUGGUCGGACAUCAGGAGGUUAGUGCAAUGGCAUAAGCUAGCUUGACUGCGAGCGUGACGGCGCGAGCAGGUGCGAAAGCAGGUCAUAGUGAUCCGGUGGUUCUGAAUGGAAGGGCCAUCGCUCAACGGAUAAAAGGUACUCCGGGGAUAACAGGCUGAUACCGCCCAAGAGUUCAUAUCGACGGCGGUGUUUGGCACCUCGAUGUCGGCUCAUCACAUCCUGGGGCUGAAGUAGGUCCCAAGGGUAUGGCUGUUCGCCAUUUAAAGUGGUACGCGAGCUGGGUUUAGAACGUCGUGAGACAGUUCGGUCCCUAUCUGCCGUGGGCGCUGGAGAAUUGAGGGGGGCUGCUCCUAGUACGAGAGGACCGGAGUGGACGCAUCACUGGUGUUCGGGUUGUCAUGCCAAUGGCACUGCCCGGUAGCUAAAUGCGGAAGAGAUAAGUGCUGAAAGCAUCUAAGCACGAAACUUGCCCCGAGAUGAGUUCUCCCUGAGACUAUAAGUCUCCUGAAGGAACGUUAAAGACGAUGACGUUGAUAGGCCGGGUGUGUAAGCGCAGCGAUGCGUUGAGCUAACCGGUACUAAUGAACCGUGAGGCUUAACCUU